CCUACGGGUGGCUGCAGUGGGGAAUAUUGGACAAUGGGCGGAAGCCUGAUCCAGCAACGCCGCGUGAGGGAUGACGGCCUUCGGGUUGUAAACCUCUUUCGGUAGGGACGAAGCGCAAGUGACGGUACCUACUAAAGAAGCACCGGCCAACUACGUGCCAGCAGCCGCGGUAAUACGUAGGGUGCGAGCGUUGUCCGGAAUUAUUGGGCGUAAAGGGCUCGUAGGCGGUUUGUCGCGUCGGGAGUGAAAACCAGGUGCUUAACACCUGGCUUGCUUUCGAUACGGGCAGACUAGAGGUAUGCAGGGGAGAACGGAAUUCCUGGUGUAGCGGUGAAAUGCGCAGAUAUCAGGAGGAACACCGGUGGCGAAGGCGGUUCUCUGGGCAUGACCUGACGCUGAGGAGCGAAAGUGUGGGGAGCGAACAGGAUUAGAUACCCUUGUAGUC
rnacentral:rRNA from 1 species